UAACUGGAGGACUAGUGGUUAGGCCACGGCGCUUUCACCGGCAUGGCCUGGGUUCGAUACCUGGCCAGGGAA